rnacentral:rRNA from 1 species
UACGUAGGGUGCGAGCGUUAAUCGGAAUUACUGGGCGUAAAGCGUGCGCAGGCGGUUUUGUAAGCCAGAUGUGAAAUCCCCGGGCUUAACCUGGGAACGGCAUUUGGGACUGCAAGGCUGGAGUGUGGCAGAGGAGACUGGAAUUCCCGGUGUAGCAGUGAAAUGCGUAGAUAUCGGGAGGAAUACCGAUGGCGAAGGCAGGUCUCUGGGCUGACACUGACGCUCAUGCACGAAAGCGUGGGGAGCAAACAGG